rnacentral:lncRNA from 1 species
GUCUAAUCCUCUGCGAUGGGGCCAGUCUGCAGAUCCGUCUGGGCGGGCUGCGGUAGCAUUCUCCACCUGCCAACACUCAGUUGCUGGUGAGUAACCAGCAUACGGACUCUCACUUCCUAGAUGACGCCUUGCUGUGUUGCCCAGGGUGGUCUCUAAUUCCUGGCCUUUAGCAAUUCUCCCGCCUUGGCCUCCUAAAGCACUGGGGUUACAGGCAUGAACCACUGUGCCCAGCCUGCAUGAUGUAAUCUCCAAAUUGAGGGCAGGAGAGAGAGUGGUCUCACAACGGAAGGGCACCAGCCACUGAGAAGUCCUAAGGCCGUGUUUGAGUUCUGGCUCAUCUUUUUUGCUAAUUUGCUCUUAUGCAUAUCACCCAACCUCGCUAAGCCAGUUUCAUCAUCAGCGAGAACAGCACACUGACAUGCAGGGCCAGCUCAGGCGCUACCACAAGCUACACAUCCGUCCAUUCGUUUAAUCUUCACAGCAGCCCUGGAGAAGACAAGAGUCAGGGACCUGGAAG